rnacentral:rRNA from 1 species
GAAAUAAUCUGUCUUAAUUAAAGAUAUUGAAUUUAACUUUUAAGUGAAAAGGCUUAGAUGAUCUGAAGGGACGAUAAGACCCUAUAAAACUUUAUAUUUAAGAGUAGAAAUUAAUUUUAUUUAAAGGUUACUAUUUUAUAAUAUUUGGUUGGGGCGACGGGAUAGAARAAAAAGUAACUGUCUUUUUUUUUUACAAUAAUAUUUGGUUUAAUGAUCCUAAAUGGAUUAAAGAUUAAGUUACUUUAGGGAUAACAGCGUAAUUUUCUUUAAGAGUUCUUAUCGACAGGAAAGUUUGCGACCUCGAUGUUGAAUUAAAGGUUCUUUAUAGAGUAGAGACUAUAAUAGAAGGUCUGUUCGACC